rnacentral:ncRNA from 1 species
UCGAACGAUGAGGGCCCGGGCUUGCCCGGGUCUGAUUAGUGGCGAACGGGUGAGUAACACGUGAGUAACCUGCCCCCGACUUCGGGAUAACCGCGAGAAAUCGUGGCUAAUACCGGAUAUGACGCCCCUGCCGCAUGGUGGGUGUGGAAGACUGUGUCGGUCGGGAUGGCUCGCGGCCUAUCAGCUUGUGGUGGGGUGAUGGCCUACCAAGGUGACGACGGGUAGCCGGCCUGAGAGGGUGACCGGCCACACUGGGACUGAGACACGGCCCAGACUCCUACGGGAGGCAGCAGUGGGGAAUAUUGCACAAUGGGCGCAAGCCUGAUGCAGCGACGCCGCGUGAGGGAUGACGGCCUUCGGGUUGUAAACCUCUUUCAGUAGGGAAGAAGCCUCUCGGGGUGACGGUACCUGCAGAAGAAGCGCCGGCUAACUACGUGCCAGCAGCCGCGGUAAUACGUAGGGCGCAAGCGUUGUCCGGAAUUAUUGGGCGUAAAGAGCUCGUAGGCGGUCUGUCGCGUCUGCUGUGAAAACGCGGGGGCUCAACCCCGCGCCUGCAGUGGGUACGGGCAGACUAGAGUGCGGUAGGGGAGACUGGAAUUCCUGGUGUAGCGGUGGAAUGCGCAGAUAUCAGGAGGAACACCGGU